UACGGAAGGGGCAAGCGUUGUUCGGAAUCGUUGGGCGUAAAGGGCGCGUAGGUGGUGCUGUAUGUCUCCCGUGAAAGCCCACGGCUCAACUGUGGGAGGUCGGGAGAAACUGGAGGGCUAGAGUAUCGGAGAGGUUGGUGGAAUUCUCGGUGUAGAGGUGAAAUUCGUAGAUAUCGAGAGGAACACCGGUGGCGAAGGCGGCCAACUGGACGAAUACUGACGCUGAGACUCGAAAGCGUGGGGAGCAAACAGG
rnacentral:rRNA from 1 species